rnacentral:rRNA from 1 species
GAUAAACGCUGGCGGCGUGCAUCAGGCAUGCAAGUCGAACGGACCUUCGGGUCAGUGGCGGACGGGUGAGUAACGCGUUAGCAACCUGCCCAGAAGUGGGGAAUAACCCGCCGAAAGGCGAGCUAAUACCGCAUGUGGUGGUCUUUCUACGGAAGGGUCAUCAAAGGCUUAGGUCGCUUCUGGAGGGGCUUGCGUUCGAUUAGUUAGUUGGUGGGGUAAUGGCCUACCAAGACUGCGAUCGAUAGCUGGUCUGAGAGGACGGUCAGCCACACGGGGGACUGAGAUUACGGGCCCCGACUCCUACGGGUGGCUG